rnacentral:rRNA from 1 species
CCUACGGGGGGCAGCAGUGAGGAAUAUUGGUCAAUGGGCGCGAGCCUGAACCAGCCAAGUCGCGUGAGGGAAGACGGUCCUAUGGAUUGUAAACCUCUUUUGUCGGGGAGCAAAAGACGCCACGCGUGGCGUUCCGAGAGUACCCGAAGAAAAAGCAUCGGCUAACUCCGUGCCAGCAGCCGCGGUAAUACGGAGGAUGCGAGCGUUAUCCGGAUUUAUUGGGUUUAAAGGGUGCGUAGGCGGAAUGCCAAGUCAGCGGUAAAAUCGCGGGGCUCAACCUCGCUCCGCCGUUGAAACUGGCGUUCUUGAGUGGGCGAGAAGUAUGCGGAAUGCGUGGUGUAGCGGUGAAAUGCAUAGAUAUCACGCAGAACUCCGAUUGCGAAGGCAGCAUACCGGCGCCCAACUGACGCUGAAGCACGAAAGCGUGGGUAUCGAACAGGAUUAGAUACCCCUGUAGUC